GAAACGAUGAAAGUAGUGGUAUUUCAACUGCGUACAUUGCUGCACUCCCACCUAUGCUACACCUUUCAUGUCGCUUCACAAUGCCUAACUGAAGUCAAGCUCAACAGGGUCUUCUUUCCCCGCUGAGGAUUCCAAGCUCGAGAUCAGAAGAGCAA